GGUUUCAUCUCUUUCUGCAAAUUGCACAUUAAUUAACCAUUAAUAACAGUGGGAGCUGCAUGCAGAAAUCCACGCCCGCUGCGACGAGGCCGUGCCCGCCGUGAGCAAGUGCCUCAUUAAUUAAUCACCUGGGUUUCAGCGCCCCGGCUGCCCCCGCAGCCCCGCGAGACAAACGUCCCCGGAGAGGAAAGAGCCCUGACGCUCGCCAGCCCUAAUCCCGCCGUAAAGAAAAGCGUUACCUCUUGCUCUAUGAAUUUUAUUUAUUUUUGGUCCUCUGGGCAGCGCUUGCCGUUGUUAGAAACAUGAUUGCUUCAUACAGUUAUGUUAAUGUUUGCAUUUGACAGAAUGUAAUUGAUACUUCUGCUGCUCCGGCUUCAAAGCCAAAUUAGGAAAUGAAGUGCUGCGCUUUAGCUUGUUUAGCUGGUUAAAUACUGUAAAUAAAUACAUGCAGGGCAAUGAAAACUAAUGAGUUUUCUUUAAGGCAUUUUCUAAAUAGCUGGCUUCAUAAAAAAAUUUAAAAAAAAAAUAAAUAAAUAAAAGUUCCUGCUGUGAACUCAUAUCCUGAAGGAUUUGUCGUUUUGCUGCAAUGAAAAUUGAUCCUGGCUGAAAUCUGAACUCUGGAUUUCACUUGGAGAACAGGAUUUUGCAAGUUAUGGAGGAAUCGUGCAAACGGAGGAGGACUGAAGACUCCCAGCGCUUUUGAGGGAGGCCAGCAAUAUCUUGCAACUUCAAGAUGAAGACGGUUGACCAGCUCUGAGAAAAACACGAGAGAUCCGGACAGUCCUCAUCCAAAAAGGUCCAUUUAAAAAUAGACGAAUUAUGACUCUCUCAAAAAGAAAUGUACGCAUUGCAUAAAUCAAAGUUCUCACACCCACCAUCAAAGUUUAAUCACUUAAUACGCUGGUUCUUUCAACAUGCUCUGAAACUUUGUAUACAAUAAUACAAACGAUGGGGUUACGAAGCAAUAGCAAUUUAUUCUGCUGUACAAACGGAUGUUGCAUUAUAAUCCCUAAAGCAACACAGAGGCUGUUUGCAGAUGUUACUACAAUUUGGCGUUUAUUUUAAUUGCUCUACAGUGUAGCUCAUGUGAAAUAAAGUCAUGGGAUGACCUACGCAUUCACCUACUAAGGGUGACUUAAUUGCAGGGGGGGAAAAAAAAAAAAAAAAAAGAA